rnacentral:rRNA from 1 species
GGCCUUGCGCUCUUUGAGCGGCCGAUGUCAGAUUAGCUAGUUGGUGAGGUAACGGCUUACCAAGGCGACGAUCUGUAGCGGGUCUGAGAGGAUGAUCCGCCACACUGGAACUGAGACACGGUCCAGACUCCUACGGGAGGCAGCAGUGGGGAAUUUUGGACAAUGGGGGCAACCCUGAUCCAGCCAUGCCGCGUGAGUGAAGAAGGCCUUCGGGUUGUAAAGCUCUUUCGGCCGGGAAGAAAUCGCAUGGGCCAAUACCCUGUGUGGAUGACGGUACCGGAAUAAGAAGCACCGGCUAACUACGUGCCAGCAUCCGCGGUAAUACGUAGGGUGCGAGCGUUAAUCGGAAUUACUGGGCGUAAAGCGUGCGCAGGCGGUUUUGUAAGACAGGCGUGAAAUCCCCGGGCUCAACCUGGGAACUGCGUUUGUGACUGCAAGGCUAGAGUACGGCAGAGGGGGGUGGAAUUCCACGUGUAGCAGUGAAAUGCGUAGAGAUGUGGAGGAACACCAAUGGCGAGGCAGCCCCCUGGGUCGAUACUGACGCUCAUGCACGAAAGCGUGGGUAGCAAACAGGAUUAGAUACCCUGGUAGUCCACGCCCUAAACUAUGUCAACUAGGUGUUGGGUGGGUAAAACCAUUUAGUACCGUAGCUAACGCGUGAAGUUGACCGCCUGGGGAGUACGGCCGCAAGGUUAAAACUCAAAGGAAUUGACGGGGACCCGCACAAGCGGUGAUGAUGUGGAUUAAUUCGAUGCAACGCGAAAAACCUUACCUACCCUUGACAUGCCAGGAACUUGCCAGAGAUGGCUUGGUGCCCGAAAGGGAGCCUGGACACAGGUGCUGCAUGGCUGUCGUCAGCUCGUGUCGUGAGAUGUUGGGUUAAGUCCCGCAACGAGCGCAACCCUUGUCGUUAAUUGCCAUCAUUUAGUUGGGCACUUUAGCGAGACUGCCGGUGACAAACCGGAGGAAGGUGGGGAUGACGUCAAGUCCUCAUGGCCCUUAUGGGUAGGGCUUCACACGUCAUACAAUGGUCGGUACAAAGGGUCGCCAAGCCGCGAGGUGGAGCCAAUCCCAGAAAGCCGAUCGUAGUCCGGAUUGCAGGCUGCAACUCGCCUGCAUGAAGUCGGAAUCGCUAGUAAUCGUGGAUCAGCAUGCCACGGUGAAUACGUUCCCGGGUCUUGUACACACCGCCCGUCACAUCAUGGGAGCGGGUUCCGCCAGAAGUAGGUAGCCUAACCGCAAGGAGGGCGCUUACCACGGCGGGGUUCGUGACUGGGGUGAAGUCGAAACAAGGCA